AGAGUUUGAUCCUGGCUCAGAGCGAACGCUGGCGGCGUGCUUAACACAUGCAAGUCGAACGAGGUUUGUAGCAAUACAAAUACUCGUGGCGAACGGGUGCGUAACACGUGGAUAACCUUCCUUCAGGUGGGGAAUAACCCAGUGAAAAUUGGGCUAAUACCGCAUAACAUCGCGAUGGCACAUGCUGUUGCGUUCAAAGCCGCAAGGCGCCAGAAGAGGGAUCCGCGGCCGAUUAGCUUGUUGGCGAGGUAAUGGCUCACCAAGGCUUUGAUCGGUAUCCGGACUGAGAGGUUGGCCGGACACACUGGAACUGAGACACGGUCCAGACUCCUACGGGAGGCAGCAGUGGGGAAUCUUGCACAAUGGACGAAAGUCUGAUGCAGCAACGCCGCGUGGGGGAUGAAGCUUCUCGGAGUGUAAACCCCUUUCGACCUGGACGAAUGCCCGCAAGGGUUUGACGGUACAGGUAUAAGAAGCCCCGGCUAACUACGUGCCAGCAGCCGCGGUAAUACGUAGGGGGCCAGCGUUGCUCGGAAUUACUGGGCGUAAAGGGUCCGUAGGCGGUGUGGUAAGUCGAUAGUGAAAUCUCUGGGCUUAACCCAGAGGCUGCUAACGAAACUACCAUGCUAGAGUGUGAGAGAGGCGAGUGGAAAUUACGGGUGUAGCGGUGAAAUGCGUAGAUAUCCGUAGGAACAUCCGAGGCGGAAAGCGGCUCGCUGGAUCACAACUGACGCUGAGGGACGAAAGCUAGGGGAGCAAACAGGAUUAGAUACCCCCGUAGUCC
rnacentral:rRNA from 1 species